UGGGGGAUAUUGCACAAUGGGCGAAAGCCUGAUGCAGCGACGCCGCGUGGGGGAUGAAGGCUUUCGGGUUGUAAACCUCUUUCGCUAUCGAACAAGGCCCGCUUAGGGUGGGUUGAGGGUAGGUGGAGAAGAAGCGCCGGCUAACUACGUGCCAGCAGCCGCGGUAAUACGUAGGGCGCGAGCGUUGUCCGGAAUUAUUGGCGUAAAGGGCUUGUAGGCGGCUUGUUGCGCCUGCUGUGAAAACGCGGGGCUUAACUUCGCGCGUGCAGUGGGUACGGGCAGGCUUGAGUGUGGUAGGGGUGACUGGAAUUCCAGGUGUAGCGGUGGAAUGCGCAGAUAUCUGGAGGAACACCGAUGGCGAAGGCAGGUCACUGGGCAAUUACUGACGCUGAGGAGCGAAAGCAUGGGUAGCGAACAGG
rnacentral:rRNA from 1 species